rnacentral:rRNA from 1 species
GAUGAACGCUAGCUACAGGCUUAACACAUGCAAGUCGAGGGGAAACGAUAGAGAAAGCUUGCUUUUUCUAGGCGUCGACCGGCGCACGGGUGAGUAACGCGUAUCCAACCUGCCCAUCACUUGGGGAUAACCUUGCGAAAGUAAGACUAAUACACAAUGAUAUCUCUAGAAGACAUCUGAAAGGGAUUAAAGAUUUAUCGGUGAUGGAUGGGGAUGCGUCUGAUUAGCUUGUUGGCGGGGUAACGGCCCACCAAGGCGACGAUCAGUAGGGGUUCUGAGAGGAAGGUCCCCCACAUUGGAACUGAGACACGGUCCAAACUCCUACGGGAGGCAGCAGUGAGGAAUAUUGGUCAAUGGGCGAGAGCCUGAACCAGCCAAGUAGCGUGCAGGAUGACGGCCCUAUGGGUUGUAAACUGCUUUUAUAAGGGAAUAAAGUGAGUCUCGUGAGACUUUUUGCAUGUACCUUAUGAAUAAGGACCGGCUAAUUCCGUGCCAGCCGCCGCGGUAG